AGAGUUUGAUCCUGGCUCAGAACGAACGCUGGCGGCGUGGUUUAGGCAUGCAAGUCGAGCGCGAAAGUUUCCUUCGGGAGACGAGUAGAGCGGCGAAAGGGUGAGUAAUGCUCAGGCAACUUGCCCCCUGGACCGGGAUAGCCACUGGAAACGGUGGGUAAUACCGGAUGGUCUCGAAGCGGCUGCGGUCGCAUCGAGUAAAGGUGGGGAUCCUUCGGGACCUGCCCCCAGGGGAGAGGCUUGAGUCGUACCAGCUUGUUGGUGAGGUAAUGGCUCACCAAGGCGAAGACGCGUAGCCGGACUGAGAGGUUGGCCGGCCACACUGGCACUGAGACACUGGCCAGACUCCUACGGGAGGCUGCAGUCGAGAAUCUUCCGCAAUGGACGAAAGUCUGACGGAGCGACGCCGCGUGGAGGAAGAAGGCCUUCGGGUUGUAAACUCCUGUCAGAGCUUAUGAGAGUUGGUGCGUUAACACCGCAUCAGUUGACAAAGGGCUCAGAGGAAGCCACAGCUAACUUCGUGCCAGCAGCUGCGGUAAUACGAAGGUGGCGAGCGUUGUUCGGAUUCACUGGGCAUAAAGGGCGAGUAGGCGGUCGGCCAAGUGGAAUGUGAAAGCCCGGGGCUCAACCCCGGAACUGCAUUCCAAACUUGCGGACUAGAGGACAGGAGGGGGAAGUGGAACUCUAGGUGGAGCGGUGAAAUGCGUAGAUAUCUAGAGGGACACCGGUGGCGAAAGCGACUUCCUGGCCUGUCCCUGACGCUGAGGCGCGAAAGCGUGGGUAGCAAACAGGAUUAGAUACCCUGGUAGUCCACGCCGUAAACGAUGAGCACUAGGUAGCCGUGGGAACCGACCCGUGGCUGCCGCAGGUAUCCGUUAAGUGCUCCGCCUGGGGG
rnacentral:rRNA from 1 species